CUGUUUAGGAAAAGGUUUGAUGAAGAAUCUGAACCUUUGAUUAGAAUGGUUUUGAUCCUUGGUUUUUAUUUCUUCCCUGCUUUUACUUUCUUCUUACCCACUAACAUGAAUCACUAAUGUCUCCUUCCAGUUCUUAAACAAAAUUACCCAUUCAUAACUAUGUACCAAAUAAAUGGUUCAUUAUUAAAAAGCAAUUGGAACAAAAAUCACUCACAUAUUAACUGUGAACAAUGGUCAUCAUUUGAAUUACAUGAAAAGGAUUUUUUUCCUAAGAACAUGCUUUGUGAUAAGAUUGUUGUUUUCUAAAAAAAAAAAAAAAAGAAUACACACUUGCUUAAGCCCUAUUAAUAAUUACCCAGAUGUGUAACUCGUUAAGGGAUAGCUCAAAAAUGUUCUUAUUCAUAAACAGGUGAUGUACUUGGAGAAAUAGAUGAAAUGCAACUCUUUAAAUUGUGCCAAAAACUGAUAUUUCAACACUCCCCAUAAUCCAGGGUAGGUACUAAUAUUUGAAUAUAAACAAGGAUACCUUCUCACUGACCACUUCAGCACUGUAAAAUCUCUUAAACUAUUAUUACACCAGAUUGUGAUCAUGGACUUGAAAAAGACAUCAUACAUUGUGUCACAGGGUCAGCUGUUGAGUGUUUACCCUUUUCUGCUUUUUCUUAGGGUUGUACUAAUAUCAAGCUGGAAGAAUACAUGGUUCAAAAUGCCAGGUGUGAAUUCCAAGUUCUUGAUAUACAGGAAAGCCUGUCUUCUGGACACUGGGACUUCCAAGCAUAUUAACAUGUGACAGUCAAGGUAUCUGUUUUCUAAAGAACUCACCUUAGCAAAUGACAUUCUUUUAUCUUUGCUUUAGCGAUAAAGCCAAGACAAAUUUGCAGUAAACCACAUGAUGAGGCCUCAAUUCCAACAUGUCUAAUAUACCUGAUAGUCUAGGCUGUUCUCCAUUCUUCAAUUUAUUUGUUCUGAUGUCUAGAACCACUGAUUUCAGAUAAUGAAUAUGUAUCUCUUUGUUGAGUGAUUAUAGUUGUUGAGAUUAUAUCAGGACUCAAAUCAAAUGUAUAGAAAUAAUAAAAGGUACUGUGGAUAUGUCUACAUCCCUACCCUAUACUUUCCUCUUUUCAUCACUAAGAGAAUCCCGGUUUAAUUCAAGAUAAUUAGGUAGCUCCCAGUUCUUCCCUGAAACUAAGGGUGUGUGUGUGUGUCACAACUCUGUGACUCAGAAGGUGUUACUAAGGGAUGCUAAGAGGAAAUGCUGGGAAGCCCUUUAAAAGGAGGCUCAUUUAGCUAAACUGUAUGCACCUUCUGCGCUAUGCCCUUUCACCUUUGCUAGCCACUCUGCUAGAUUAUAAACUUCAAACUGGAGAAUGAACACUCAUAUUGCAGCCAAAGAAUAACACUUCUGAAAAUGAGGACCGCAGAUGGAGGAGAUCAAUACAGAAGCAGCAGAAACAUUUUUUUGCAGCUUGUUGAUCCAUCACCCAAUUCAUAGGGUUGGAAUUGUUUUUCCUGAGAUUUCUAUACACAGAGGGGCAUAAACUCCUUCAUCGAUAAGAAAACAUUCUUUUCUUUUUUUUCUCAGAGUCGUACUACUUGGGAUGGAAUGCAAUCCUUAGUCACUUGUACUUUUGAAGGCAGGGUUUAAGUGACUCCGACAGACCGAAGAUAAAUGAUUAACAGGUAUUUAUUAGGGAAGCACUUACACAAUUAAUAGUAAAUAACCACCGUGGUCUUCCUGCUCCUGAAGGUGCAGUCUCUGCCCUUCUGGAGUUCCUACUACCACCCAAGAGAGUGAGUCAGCCCUUCCUCUUCCAUAUAAGGGGUCAUGUCUGCACACCUGAAGCCAGGCCCCUAGGAUGUGGCCACUACCACAAGUCCCACUGGAGAAGGAAGAUGCCACUAUAUACUUUUCCGAAAAAAAUAAAAGGAUUGAAAAUGUCUCUGCCCGUUAAGAAAUAUGAGGGUACUGAGUAAGAAAUUUGCUUCUCAAAUAUAGGAAGUAAGAAUUGUGAGGAAUGAAGGAAGGCUGUUCUCCUAAGACAGAAAGGUGGAACAAGGGGGAAACAAAAGGAAACUGCAUCAGAGUGGAGGAAAAAGUCAGGCCAUGAGCCUGGUGGUAGAUAUUAGGAGGAAAUGCAGAAUCCCAGCUACUAGCUCUUGACUGAACUAACAUUGGCUAGGCAGAAGGGUGGCAUCCAUGCUAUAUACUAAAAAAAAAAUGGAGCAGUUUAUAUCCUGUUGCCAAGCUUUUCUUACUCUCAUGUAAAGUGUGAGGCAGAAUAAAAGAUCUGGACAGUUGGUGUGAAAUAGAAUGAUUGGAUCUGAAGUUACCAGUGAGCAUUUUAGAGUCAAAAAGGUCAAGAGGUCCAAGUAGACAGGACUCAAGUCUCACCCAAUCCUCAGUCUGUGCUUCACCUUUUAGUUUAUUCGCUCACUCACUAUGUCACUAGACCUUCGUUGAAUAUCUGUUACGCUCUAAGUAUCGCUAAUAUUGCGUAGAUCUCCGAUUAGUAUCAAAGUAGGAUGAUACUGUUUUAGAUUAAAACCAUCACGCAGGACCAGGGGAGAUGCUUCAGAGGGUAAAAGCACUUGCCAUGCAAGCCUAACAAUCUGGGUUCACACCCCCAGAACAGGCCGGAAAAAGCCAAAUGUGGUGGCAAGCAGCUGCAAUCCAUUCAGUGAGAUAGGAGGUAGGGUCAGGAGAAUUAGCCCAGAGCUCAUGGUCCCCCUAUCCUAGAACAAGCAGCAGGGCCGUGGAAACAAAGGGGACCCUGUCUCAACAGCUGGAAGAUGAGAAGCAACUCCAGAAAAGUUGUCCUUUGAACUCCACACUCUGGCACGUCAUACACGGCCACUCACACAAUUAAUUAAUAAAGUUUUUUUAAACUAAAAAAUAACAUGGAAUAUAGGCAGAAUGUAAAAAGAGAACACUCACAAAACCCUAUUAAAGAGCGUUCAAGGAACUGAUAAUUUAGAGUUACUAAAGGAAGAGCAUUCGUUUAUAAUUUCUAGGUGUGGUGACAUAUUAUUUAUGAUUUAUUAGAGCUUGCCUGAGGGUUUAGAAUGCAAAGCUAGCCACAAGCCAGAGAGGUCAGGCAAUGGUGAUACACUCCUUUAAUCCCAGCAGACAUACUAGCAAGCCAUAGAGGCAGGCAGUGGUGGCACACAGCUUUAAUCCCAGGACUCAGGAGGCAGGCAAAUAAAACUGAGUUGAAGACCACACUGACCUACACAAGAGUGAAGAGUAACAGAGCACACACCUUUAAUCCCAACACUAGGGAGGUACAGACAGGGGUGAUAUGGCUGGGAAGAGAAAGGGAUAAAAGGAGGAGGAGACAGGAACUCGGAUCUUUUGCCUGUGAGGAUUCAUGGAGACAGGAUUUUCAUUUCAGCUGGGCAGAGAGUGAAUAUCCUUUAAAUAGAAACCUUUUAGAUUGGAUUUAAGGCCUGCAGCACAGGCAGAAAUGUACACCCGGUCUCAGAAACCUGACCAAUCCCCCGUGACAAGAGACGGGGGAGAACCCACUACUGCGGUUUCCCUGAGGCGGCAUGACGUCACCUGUCUUCUAAUCUGAAUGCUUAUCUAUAUACCCAUAAGUCAGUGCAAUCCUCACGCCUCAUUGGAAAAGCCUAUUAUUGCAAUGGACAGUGGUUGACACAGAGACUCACAACCAAUCCGGGAGUGUAAAGGAUAGGUGACUGUAGAGUGGUCAGCUCUCAAAGAACAAGUACAUCACCCCUCCCCCAAGGCUCAGGGAACUGAGAAAGAGGGAGCAGGAAGAUUGUAAGAACCAGAGGCUGGGAAGGACUGGAGCAAAACGGUGUUUUCUGGACGUGGCUGGGCCAUUAUGUCCAUGAAGUUGUCAAAGCAGCGAUGGACUCCUCAACAAGCCAUGCAGAAGAGUAGGGCAGUUAGUAUCCCAGCAUGGAUGGAGAAGGGGAUUCCCAGGCCUCAUCCCAAAGUGAAAGGACUUGACAAUUGAUGGCAUCUGGAGGAUGGAGAUUGAGCUUUCUUCAAGGAUGUGUCCGGAAGGGUGCCGAUGUUUCAGUGGAUGGCCUACACUCGUGUAUACAUUGGCAGCGAUAGCUGGACACAACAGGUUACAAAAGAACCUGCAAAAAAAAAAAAAAAAAAAAAAAAAGAUGAGGAUAUGAAAUUGAGCAGGGAGUUGGGAAGGGGAAUCUGGGAGAAGCCAGAUGAAGGCAUGGGGUGGAGAUGAUCAAAAUACAUUAUACACGUGUGUGAACUUCUCAAAACAACAGGUAAAUAAGAUUAAAGUAACCCGCCAUGCAACUCCACCACUGGUCCAGGUAUGGGAGGUUCCCCGGAUAUUCAACAAUCAAAAAUGUUAAAACAACCAUUUCUUUAGGGCUUAUGUUAACCUGUUUUCAAGUUAUAGUAAAACCCUGGUGUGGAGAACUACAUAAAAGAGGAGAAAGCCUACGAGGAGAAGUUUUGUGUGACUGAGCAAUGGUUAAGCAGUAGACUGCAGCAAUCUUUACCUACUGGAGCAGUGAGGACUAUUCAUAAUCACGUGUUUAAUUCUUCCUACAGUCUUCUGCCUGUGGAUGACAUUACACCUGCGCCAUUGUGAAAGACCCCCGGAAGGCCCAGGCCCCCAGGAUCUCGGUCCAGGACUGUGGUCACCCCAAUCACCAGGCUGAGUCAGAAGCUUGAUGCAAACUGCAUGAGGCUUUAUUAUAGUUGUUUAACGAGCUAACGCUCGAGUCUUUCAUCCACCCGCCAUGGUGGAUGGCUAGAAAAGACUCUGCAAAGCCACAGCAUAGAGAUCUUAUAGGGCAGCAUAAGGGGAGUGUCUAGGGGUACGCACAGGCUCAGGAUUGGUGUGCCUCCAGGCUUGGAGGGUUUGCCCUGGGUUGAUUGGUCAACUGGUUGUUAUGGCCCAUAGGCCCUCCCAGGGCGGUUGCUAUGCUCUGCACGUCAUUGCUGUGCAAUUGUCCGUAAAGCACACCCAGAGCAGUAAAGCCAUAAAGCAUAGCACCACCAGCUAACUUCUGAUUGGUUCCUUGCCACGAGGCAGGCAUCUGACCUCCCUGAUCAGACACACACGUGUUCGGCUGUUAUGGCUGCUGAAAUGGGGAGCUUGUCCCUUCAAUUGCUACUGAAAUUGUCACAGCCCAAAGCCCUAGGAGCCAUAGUGAGCUAGACUGGGCCAUCAGUUAGUCUUCUGUAGGCCAAUAAAAGACAAAAAUCCUGGUGAGAAGCACCGAAAGGAGUUUCAUUCAAUGUUACCACACUAGGAGGAGGAGCAAAGCGUUCUAAGCCUCUCUCCUCCCCCACCCCCUUUGUGAUCCUGAGGGGAGGUUUAACUUUAAAUAGGAAGCAUGAGGAAUGUAUAGUUAAGCAAGGUCAAAAUGUGGUCCCAUCCAUCAUCAUUGCCUGAGCCCCAUUUUUUCUUGCAAGAUGGUCUGAGAAACUGUAAGAAAUGCAUGGAAUCUUCUCUUGAAAGACUGAUAUCCCCUCAAGCUGGCAGCAGCCUUCAGACUUUUCCUUCUCCCAGCAUGAGAUUUCCAGGUAAAUUCCAAGUCCUUUGGAACCAUUGUUUUAAUAUACUCACAACCACAGUGGGGGGGGGCACAAGUUUCUUCUGUAAAAUAUCUUCAUUCUUAUCAAGAUUCUUAUACCAUGAUACUCAAAUGAAAGAAAUCCAGCCAUAGCCCAAGAGAAAAGAGGAGGGAAAGAAGUCCAUGAUUUUUCUCAAUCCCUGAAAGGCUUAAGAACACUCCACUGCCAAACAUUUUCUCCUCCACACACCCCAGAGCAGUGUUUCUGAACCUUCUGAAUGCUGUGACCCUUUAAUACAGUUCUUCAUGCUGUGUGACCUCCAACCACACAAUUGUUUUUUUGUUCCUCCCUCUCUUUGCCUGGAUUCCCAGGGCUCAGCCUUGUUCAUGAUUGUGGAUUUCUACACCUGUCUCCAUCAAUUACUAGCUGAAGGCUCUAUGAAGAUAGUAGGGGUGUUCAUCAAUCUGAUUACAGAGGCAGGCCAGUUCAGGCAUCCUCUCCACUAUUGGUAGUCUUAGCUGGGGUCCUCCUUGUGGAUUCCAUAUAUGAGCAAGUCAGGUCAAGACCAUGAUUGAGAGAUCUACAGAGACAGCCAAACCAAGCUGGUGGACACUCAUGGACACUAGACCUACAGCCGUGGAGACUCCAGGGGAUUGAACUAAGCCCUCCACAUGUGGGAGACAGGUGUGAAGCUUGGAGUAGCUGAGGGGUCCCUGGCAGUAGGACCACAAUAUAAUCCCAGUACAUGAGCUAGCUUGUUGGAGCCCACUCCCUAUGGUGGGACGCUAUGCUCAGUCUUAAUGCAUGGGAGAGGAACUGGGCUCUGCCCCAACCAUUGUGUCAGACUGUGUUGACUCCUCACGGGAACCCUUACCUGUAAGGAGGAGUGGACUGGGGGUAGGCUGGGGGUGUUGGUGAGGGG
ensembl:lncRNA